ACUUAAGCAUAUCAAUAAGCGGAGGAAAAGAAACCAACAGGGAUUGCCUUAGUAACGGCGAGUGAAGCGGCAACAGCUCAAAUUUGAAAUCUGGCCCCAGGCCCGAGUUGUAAUUUGCAGAGGAUGCUUUUGGCGCGGUGCCUUCCGAGUUCCCUGGAACGGGACGCCAUAGAGGGUGAGAGCCCCGUCUGGUUGGAUACCAAGCCUUUGUAAAGCUCCUUCGACGAGUCGAGUAGUUUGGGAAUGCUGCUCUAAAUGGGAGGUAUAUGUCUUCUAAAGCUAAAUACCGGCCAGAGACCGAUAGCGCACAAGUAGAGUGAUCGAAAGAUGAAAAGCACUUUGGAAAGAGAGUUAAACAGCACGUGAAAUUGUUAAAAGGGAAGCGUUUAUGACCAGACUUGGGCCGGUUAAUCAUCCAGCGUUCUCGCUGGUGCACUUUGCCGGUCCAGGCCAGCAUCAGUUCGCUGCGGGGGAUAAAGGCGUCGGGAAUGUGGCUCCUCUGGAGUGUUAUAGCCCUUCGCGCAAUACCCUGCGGUGGACUGAGGUUCGCGCAUCUGCAAGGAUGCUGGCGUAAUGGUCAUCAACGACCCGUCUUGAAACACGGACCAAGGAGUCGUCUUCGUAUGCGAGUGUUCGGGUGUAAAACCCCUACGCGUAAUGAAAGUGAACGCAGGUGAGAGCUUCGGCGCAUCAUCGACCGAUCCUGAUGUUCUCGGAUGGAUUUGAGUAAGAGCAUACGGGGCCGGACCCGAAAGAAGGUGAACUAUGCCUGUAUAGGGUGAAGCCAGAGGAAACUCUGGUGGAGGCUCGCAGCGGUUCUGACGUGCAAAUCGAUCGUCAAAUAUGGGCAUGGGGCGAAAGACUAAUCGACC
rnacentral:rRNA from 1 species